rnacentral:rRNA from 1 species
CCUACGGGAGGCAGCAGUGAGGAAUCUUGGUAAAUGGGCGCGAGCCUGCACCAGCCAAGUAGCGUGAAGGCUGACUGCCCUACGGGUUGUAAACUUCUUUUAUAAAGGAAUAAAGUGAGGCAAGUGUGCCUUUUUGUGUGUACUUUAUGAAUAAGGAUCGGCUAACUACGUGCCAGCAGCCGCGGUAAUACGGAGGAUCCGAGCGUUAUCCGGAUUUAUUGGGUUUAAAGGGAGCGUCGAUGGGUGGUUAAGUCAGUUGUGGAAGUUUGCGGCUCAACAGUAAAAUUGCAAAUUAUACUGGCAGUCUUGAGUACAGUUGAGGUAGGCAGAAUUCGGGGUGUAGCGGUGAAAUGCUUAGAUAUCACGAAGAACUCCGAUUUCGAAGGCAGCUUACUAAACUGCCACUGACAUUGAUGCUCGAAAGUGUGGGGAUCAAACAGGAUUAGAUACCCGAGUAGUCC